rnacentral:piRNA from 1 species
CCUAAGAACGAGAUGGCCCAGCU